rnacentral:sRNA from 1 species
GUUGGGGGCGUUCCGGGAUUGAGGGGUGGUUGUAGUGGUGGGUUAGGAAUACCCUCCCGGCUAUCGCUUCAGUGGGUAGAGGGGACCACUGCCCGAGAGCUUUAAUGGAGCUGGGUCCUGCAUUCGCGCUGAGGAGCCCUCGUUUUCGAGAUCGGGCCUGACCGGGAUAAGCUCCAGGCAUAAACAUUUACUAAAGAGCUAUUAAUGGGUCAGUCACAGGUGGAAGAAUGUUGUGAAUAUACAAGUGACUGGGAGUGUGUCUAAAAGAUCAUAUAAUUUGAAACAGUAUAAUGUCUCAGUCCUGGGCAAAGUGAGAUGAGUUGUAGCCUUUGGAGACCUAUAAUUUUGAACAUAGAUGUUCCUUAAAAGCUAAAUUGUUUUGAACAGAUGAUGAUAAACCUGGAGGAGAUUCACCAACAAUAGCAAAUUACAGACUGGCUUGGAAAGCACUCACAUGUUCCGUUUGAUCUUGGCAGUUUAAUGCUGUUCUUGAGGUCUAAUUAGUUACACUGGAUAUGCUGCUGUUCUUGAAGUCUAAUUAGUUACACUGGAUAU